ACGAUGUCUACUUGGAGGUUGUGGCCUUGAGCCGUGGCUUUCGGAGCUAACGCGUUAAGUAGACCGCCUGGGGAGUACGGUCGCAAGAUUAAAACUCAAAUGAAUUGACGGGGGCCCGCACAAGCGGUGGAGCAUGUGGUUUAAUUCGAUGCAACGCGAAGAACCUUACCUACUCUUGACAUCCAGAGAACUUUCCAGAGAUGGAUUGGUGCCUUCGGGAACUCUGAGACAGGUGCUGCAUGGCUGUCGUCAGCUCGUGUUGUGAAAUGUUGGGUUAAGUCCCGCAACGAGCGCAACCCUUAUCCUUGUUUGCCAGCGAGUAAUGUCGGGAACUCCAGGGAGACUGCCGGUGAUAAACCGGAGGAAGGUGGGGACGACGUCAAGUCAUCAUGGCCCUUACGAGUAGGGCUACACACGUGCUACAAUGGCGCAUACAGAGGGCGGCCAACUUGCGAAAGUGAGCGAAUCCCAAAAAGUGCGUCGUAGUCCGGAUUGGAGUCUGCAACUCGACUCCAUGAAGUCGGAAUCGCUAGUAAUCGUGGAUCAGAAUGCCACGGUGAAUACGUUCCCGGGCCUUGUACACACCGCCCGUCACACCAUGGGAGUGGGCUGCAAAAGAAGUAGGUAGUUU
rnacentral:rRNA from 1 species